UUUCCAGGGGCGGAGCGACGUGGUGGCCAGAGGUGGCCAGCGCCCAUCUUGGGGAAAAUGUUACUGGGGGCGUUGCAGCUUGGCCACAUCAUUAGUACGGACCAGAAGAUUGUAGACUGCUGUAGGCGCCGUUGUAGGGACAGCGAGCCCGGAAGCCACAGCUGGGGCCGCUGGGCCAUGCGGCGCAGAACUGCAGCAAGCUACGUGGCUGCGCUCCAGAGUUCCACAAACCCUGUCGGGCAUCUGCUGCUUGUCUGAUCAUCUGCUGCUCGUCUGGGCCCGAUGGGAACAUCUCUGAAAAUGGACAUUGGAAGAAAUGCUGCCUUUAGAACGCGCACCCCCUGCAUUGGAGAAGUUCCCUCACCAUGUUGUCAAUCCAAUCAGCUGACUCAAUAUGAGGAAGUGGCACAGCAUGAGGAACUUUUGCAAAGGAAGAUUUUUCCUGCAGUGUCAUCCUGACCCUCCCGCGACUGAAUGACGAGCAAACGCAAACGAGCGGCCGUGCCGAGAUGGAGUCAUUUGAAGUUCUCGGCCGUCGGAGGGAUAUCCAUGAACCAAACAUUGAAACGUGACGCCAUGCUUGCCCCUGCACAAAACAGUGUCGGUGUGACGUCUUGGUCUUUUUGAUGAAGGCACCGUGUGACCACGUUUGAUUCUGAGGCCACUUUGACGGUUUGCAGGCUGUCUGAAGUGAGAUCAGAGGCGCAAGAGCCGAGAAGCAGAC